UCCAAUGGUGGGCCGAGCGGGGGCGUCGCAAGACGCGCCGGUAUCCGAAGAGGCCGGUAAGGCUAACCCUGUUCGGUUCCACCGCCAGC
rnacentral:antisense_RNA from 16 species